rnacentral:rRNA from 1 species
AUGAACGCUAGCUACAGGCUUAACACAUGCAAGUCGAGGGGCAGCAUGGUCUUAGCUUGCUAAGGCCGAUGGCGACCGGCGCACGGGUGAGUAACACGUAUCCAACCUGCCGUCUACUCUUGGACAGCCUUCUGAAAGGAAGAUUAAUACAAGAUGGCAUCAUGAGUCCGCAUGUUCACAUGAUUAAAGGUAUUCCGGUAGACGAUGGGGAUGCGUUCCAUUAGAUAGUAGGCGGGGUAACGGCCCACCUAGUCUUCGAUGGAUAGGGGUUCUGAGAGGAAGGUCCCCCACAUUGGAACUGAGACACGGUCCAAACUCCUACGGGAGGCAGCAGUGAGGAAUAUUGGUCAAUGGGCGCAGGCCUGAACCAGCCAAGUAGCGUGAAGGAUGACUGCCCUAUGGGUUGUAAACUUCUUUUAUAAAGGAAUAAAGUCGGGUAUGUAUACCUGUUUGCAUGUACUUUAUGAAUAAGGAUCGGCUAACUCCGUGCCAGCAGCCGCGGUAAUACGGAGGAUCCGAGCGUUAUCCGGAUUUAUUGGGUUUAAAGGGAGCGUAGAUGGAUGUUUAAGUCAGUUGUGAAAGUUUGCGGCUCAACCGUAAAAUUGCAGUUGAUACUGGAUAUCUUGAGUGCAGUUGAGGCAGGCGGAAUUCGUGGUGUAGCGGUGAAAUGCUUAGAUAUCACGAAGAACUCCGAUUGCGAAGGCAGCCUGCUAAGCUGCAACUGACAUUGAGGCUCGAAAGUGUGGGUAUCAAACAGGAUUAGAUACCCUGGUAGUCCACACGGUAAACGAUGAAUACUCGCUGUUUGCGAUAUACAGCAAGCGGCCAAGCGAAAGCGUUAAGUAUUCCACCUGGGGAGUACGCCGGCAACGGUGAAACUCAAAGGAAUUGACGGGGGCCCGCACAAGCGGAGGAACAUGUGGUUUAAUUCGAUGAUACGCGAGGAACCUUACCCGGGCUUAAAUUGCAGAUGAAUUACGGUGAAAGCCGUAAGCCGCAAGGCAUCUGUGAAGGUGCUGCAUGGUUGUCGUCAGCUCGUGCCGUGAGGUGUCGGCUUAAGUGCCAUAACGAGCGCAACCCUUGUUGUCAGUUACUAACAGGUUCCGCUGAGGACUCUGACAAGACUGCCAUCGUAAGAUGUGAGGAAGGUGGGGAUGACGUCAAAUCAGCACGGCCCUUACGUCCGGGGCUACACACGUGUUACAAUGGGGGGUACAGAGGGCCGCUACCACGCGAGUGGAUGCCAAUCCCCAAAACCUCUCUCAGUUCGGACUGGAGUCUGCAACCCGACUCCACGAAGCUGGAUUCGCUAGUAAUCGCGCAUCAGCCACGGCGCGGUGAAUACGUUCCCGGGCCUUGUACACACCGCCCGUCAAGCCAUGGGAGCCGGGGGUGCCUGAAGUGCGUAACCGCGAGGAGCGCCCUAGGGUAAAACUGGUGACUGGGGCU